rnacentral:rRNA from 1 species
CCGCCGUGGAGGAAUGUAAGCCCCUUCGGGGCGGUAAACUCCUUUCGACCAAGACGAUGAUGACGGUACUGGUGGGUAACGAAGCACCGGCUAAACUCCUGUGC